rnacentral:rRNA from 1 species
AUUGAACGCUGGCGGCAGGCCUAACACAUGCAAGUCGAACGAGUGGCGGACGGGUGAGUAAUGUCUGGGAAACUGCCUGAUGGAGGGGGAUAACUACUGGAAACGGUAGCUAAUACCGCAUACCAUCAGAUGUGCCCAGAUGGGAUUAGCUAGUUGGUGGGGUAACGGCUCACCAAGGCGACGAUCCCUAGCUGGUCUGAGAGGAUGACCAGCCACACUGGAACUGAGACACGGUCCAGAAUCCUACGGGAGGCAGAAGUGGGGAAGAUUGCACAAUGGGCGCAAGCCUGAUGCAGCCAUGCCGCGUGUAUGAAGAAGGCCUUCGGGGUGUAAAGUACUUUCAGCGAGGAGGCGUUACCCGCAGAAGAAGCACCGGCUAACUCCGUGCCAGCAGCCGCGGUAAUAC